AGUAAGUGCAAUUUUACACGGUUUAUGUUCAACGUUUGACUGUCCGUUUUAUUUGAAAAUUUUUUAUGAUUAGUAUUUCUGUUGUUAUUAGAUGAUAAAUCAUGAAUAGUACUUUAUGUGUGAUUAUUUUUUUAAUUUUUUCAUAAAUUUUUCAAAUAAGACGGACGGUCAAACGUUGGACACGGAUAUCUACGGUUGCGCUUAUU
rfam:Oryza punctata chromosome 7, whole genome shotgun sequence.